UACUAAGCCAUGCGAGUCAUUGUAGCAAUACAAGGCAGACGGCUCAGUAACGCGUAGUCAACCUACCCUAUGGACGGGAAUAACCUCGGGAAACUGAGUAUAAUGCCCGAUAGAACAUUAUAUCUGGUAUGGUUUAUGUUCCAAAUGAUUUAUCGCCAUAGGAUGGGACUGCGGCCUAUCAGUUUGUUGGUGAGGUAAUGGCCCACCAAGACUAUUACAGGUACGGGCUCUGAGAGGAGUGGCCCGGAGAUGGGUACUGAGACACGGACCCAGGCCCUAUGGGGCGCAGCAGGCGAGAAAACUUCGCAAUGUGCGAAAGCACGACAAGGUUAAUCCGAGUGGUUUCUGCUAAAGGAACCUUUUGACAGUCCUAGAAACACUGUUGAAUAAGGGGUGGGCAAGUUCUGGUGUCAGCCGCCGCGGUAAAACCAGCACCUCAAGUGGUCAGGAUGAUUAUUGGGCCUAAAGCAUCCGUANCCGGCUCUGUAAGUUUUCGGUUAAAUCUGUACGCUUAACCGUACAGGCUGCUGGGAAUNCUGCAGAGCUAGGGAGUGGGAGAGGUAGACGGUACUCGGGAAGAAGCGGUAAAAUGCUUUGAUCUCUCGAUGACCACCUGUGGCGAAGGCGGUCUACCAGAACACGUCCGACGGUGAGGGAUGAAUGCUGNGGGAGCAAACCGGAUUAGAUACCCGGGUAGUCCCAGCUGUAAACUAUGCNAACUCAGUGA
rnacentral:rRNA from 1 species